rnacentral:rRNA from 1 species
GAGCACGCCGCGUGAGUGAUGAAGGUUUUCGGAUCGUAAAGCUCUGUUGUUAGGGAAGAACAAGUACCGUUCGAAUAGGGCGGUACCUUGACGGUACCUAACCAGAAAGCCACGGCUAACUACGUGCCAGCAGCCGCGGUAAUACGUAGGUGGCAAGCGUUGUCCGGAAUUAUUGGGCGUAAAGGGCUCGCAGGCGGUUUCUUAAGUCUGAUGUGAAAGCCCCCGGCUCAACCGGGGAGGGUCAUUGGAAACUGGGGAACUUGAGUGCAGAAGAGGAGAGUGGAAUUCCACGUGUAGCGGUGAAAUGCGUAGAGAUGUGGAGGAACACCAGUGGCGAAGGCGACUCUCUGGUCUGUAACUGACGCUGAGGAGCGAAAGCGUGGGGAGCGAACAGGAUUAGAUACCCUGGUAGUCCACGCCGUAAACGAUGAGUGCUAAGUGUUAGGGGGUUUCCGCCCCUUAGUGCUGCAGCUAACGCAUUAAGCACUCCGCCUGGGGAGUACGGUCGCAAGACUGAAACUCAAAGGAAUUGACGGGGGCCCGCACAAGCGGUGGAGCAUGUGGUUUAAUUCGAAGCAACGCGAAGAACCUUACCAGGUCUUGACAUCCUCUGACAAUCCUAGAGAUAGGACGUCCCCUUCGGGGGCAGAGUGACAGGUGGUGCAUGGUUGUCGUCAGCUCGUGUCGUGAGAUGUUGGGUUAAGUCCCGCAACGAGCGCAACCCUUGAUCUUAGUUGCCAGCAUUCAGUUGGGCACUCUAAGGUGACUGCCGGUGACAAACCGGAGGAAGGUGGGGAUGACGUCAAAUCAUCAUGCCCCUUAUGACCUGGGCUACACACGUGCUACAAUGGACAGAACAAAGGGCAGCGAAACCGCGAGGUUAAGCCAUCCCACAAAUCUGUUCUCAGUUCGGAUCGCAGUCUGCAACUCGACUGCGUGAAGCUGGA